CAUGGAUGGCGAAUUUUGGAUCGGCCUCCACAACCGGGAAAUUACGAACUGUUCCGAAGUUCACCAUUUCUGGGAGGAUGGGUGUCAGCCUCUAGGAUGGAGUAAGUGGGGAGAAGGUUCCCCGAACAACUGUGAGAAUGACCGGUGUGUCGUCAUGAAGGACACACGAUGGCACACAGCUAACUGUAGUGACGAGUACAGCUUCAUCUGUGAGAAGGAAAUUGACUGCCAAUACAGCGAUAACAACUAUAACAUCACCUUAGAGGAUGUGUCUGUUACCGAACUGGUUUAUAAAGAAAUGACAUCAAUAUCUGUAUGCGAGGAGUUGUGCAAAGGGAUGGCGAAAGGUGAUACCCAGGGAUGCACAACAUUUCCUGAUAAUGACACGUGCGUUUUGAUCUUCAUUGACUCCGGAGACAGAGACUACCCCUUGUCAGAAUCCUACACUGGUACAGCAUAUUCUUUUAAAUCCUGCGAACAGGCUGCCUUUGGUCCAGCACCCAACAAUAGUAAUUACGAAGAAAAUGAGCUUCCAGAUACAACAUGUCCACGUUUGAUAAAUAGUGAUUUCUACUAUGAAUAUCUAGACGCCUACCGCGUGGCGCUCCUACCCUCUCUGUACAAGACCCUGGACAUCGUGCUAGAAGAAGAAAGGGUGUAAGACAGUUUGUAUGGUGGCGGAUCUGAACGACAAACAGUGCUGGGCAGUCAACAUGUUCAGUACACUGUCCAACUUCUGCCGUCUUUACUACCUGAACAGAGAGCCUUCUUACCUGUUUUAUGAGCGCUAUGUAAGCAGUAAACCAGGGCCAUUGUUUCUACGUAGGCGACUUGUUAAGAACGAGAUUCAUGACGACGGAAUUGUUGAUACCAUAGAGGAACUGGAGGUGGACCACAAAAACACGACCUUGUACAAGAUGAAGUUCAUAAGCGUAUUCGAGGACAACGUCUCUAAGAUAGGUAUGGGAGCAGUAGGAAGCAUAUUCAUCGCCACGGCCAUUAUCACCGUAAUCGUGUCAGACUGUCGAACAAUCUGCAAGCACGUGCGAACAAUUGGCGCGAGGAACAUCCGCAAAAGGACGAUAUGCAAGGGUAAAAAGAAGAGUAAGAAGUUAUCAAAUAAGGUUUCGCAAGCCCCAUCUACUGAAACAGGUGACUCCCAUGCUAAGGUCAUUUUCGUUAGAGCCACGCCGUUAAAGGGCGCGUCCAAUACGGAUACAAACGGUACAGCUAAUCCAAGCGAGAUGAGGGCAAGUUCUUCCAAAGAAAGGGAUACUGUUUGAUCAAUCUUACUAAAUAAUGGAAGUCAAUAGCAUGGCUAAGAAUCACUUUGAAGGAAGGAAGGAAGGAAGGAAG